rnacentral:lncRNA from 1 species
AGGGGCGGCGCCGAGCGGGCCUGUUCCGCGGCGCCAUGGAGACGGGCCCGCCGCCCGGCCCGGCCGACCCCAGCCGUGGCUCCAGAGGCGGGAGCGGCCUGCUGCCGGGACCGGGGCGAUGUGGAGGUCUAAACAACAACUGGCUCUAGCAGCUGAGCAAGAAUGGAUUCUGAAACAGAGUAAUAUGCAAACAGAACUUAACUGGCAGCAGCUCUGUGAGAAUGGUGAAUGUAAUUGGUAUCAGAAAUCAGAGGAUCCAGCAUGCAGCCUAUGUUCAUCAAGAGAGGAGGUUCAUUGAGCACAAACAAAAUUUCAACUGGAACCACACUAAGCAACAUCAAAAUCCGUUCAACUAUGCUGGAUUGUAUAGUAAACCAAGACAGAGAAGAGGGGCCAGAACCCAAAGUUCUUGAAGAAAACAUGGUAAAUUUUGGACAACAGCUACCUGAUGUAGGCACUGGUAUUUGUUGUCAAUAUAAUGUCAAACACACUCUACAAGGAAUGCAAAAUAAACUCAAGGAAGCAGCAAGAAAAAUUUCAAUUCUGAGCCAAGAGAAGCGUCAGCUGAUUGAAAUGGGAAACAGGCUCAGGGCAGAACUUGGAAUGGUGUUAAAGGAAGGUAAAUUUAUUCUAAAGAAAAGUACUAGCUUAUAUAUUUAG